AUCUUACCUUUGAGACCUGCAUCUCCAAAUUCUCCCAAGAUAUUUCUGCCUGGAUGAUCCAUUGGCACCUCACAUUCAACAGGAAAAACUAAGCAGAUCUAGAUCCCAGAAGUUCAGGUGCCUGGUCUGGAGGUAAAUAAGACUUUGGUUGCAGAUGGAGAAAAAAAAAUAAUCUUAAAAACAAUAGAAACUAUCAAGGAGAGAAAGAACUUACAUAGCUCUAAAAGGGAAGAAAGACACUUUUAAUCAAAGCAAUGAAACUUUAAUCGUGAAUUUCAAUCAUCAGCGAGCAGGAGGUGUUUGGGGACAGAAUGACUUUAUUUGUGCCCCUGAAAUCACAGUAGGUCUCAACUACAAGUUGCGACAGCUCCUUUAAAGUUAUACAAGAUGAAGCAAGAGAAAUGGCAUAAAAGACAAAACUAUCCAAUUUUUAAAAGGCUGCAAGAAGUC